UCGACCCUACGGGGCGCAGCAGUGGGGAAUAUUGGGCAAUGGGCGCAAGCCUGACCCAGCAACGCCGCGUGAAGGAUGAAGGUUUUCGGAUUGUAAACUUCUUUUGUACGGGACGAAGAAAGUGACGGUACCGUAAGAAUAAGCCACGGCUAACUACGUGCCAGCAGCCGCGGUAAUACGUAGGUGGCAAGCGUUAUCCGGAUUUACUGGGUGUAAAGGGCGAGUAGGCGGGAUUGCAAGUCAGAUGUGAAAACUAUGGGCUCAACCGAUAGAGUGCAUUUGAAACUGCAGUUCUUGAGUGAUGG
rnacentral:rRNA from 1 species